rnacentral:rRNA from 1 species
UACGUAGGUGGCAAGCGUUGUCCGGAAUUAUUGGGCGUAAAGCGCGCGCAGGCGGUCCUUUAAGUCUGAUGUGAAAGCCCACGGCUCAACCGUGGAGGGUCAUUGGAAACUGGGGGACUUGAGUACAGAAGAGAAGAGUGGAAUUCCACGUGUAGCGGUGAAAUGCGUAGAGAUGUGGAGGAACACCAGUGGCGAAGGCGACUCUUUGGUCUGUAACUGACGCUGAGGCGCGAAAGCGUGGGGAGCGAGCCGG